CGGAGGAAAAGAAACCAACAGGGAUUACCUCAGUAACGGCGAGUGAAGCGGUAACAGCUCAAAUUUGAAAUCUGGCCUCACGGUCCGAGUUGUAAUUUGUAGAGGAUGUUUCGAGCAUGGUCUGGCCUAAGUUCCUUGGAACAGGACGUCAUAGAGGGUGAGAAUCCCGUAUGCGGUCAGGUGCCUACGCUCAUGUGAAACUCCUUCGACGAGUCGAGUUGUUUGGGAAUGCAGCUCAAAAUGGGUGGUAAAUUUCAUCUAAAGCUAAAUAUUGGCCAGAGACCGAUAGCGCACAAGUAGAGUGAUCGAAAGAUGAAAAGCACUUUGGAAAGAGAGUUAAACAGUACGUGAAAUUGUUGAAAGGGAAGCGCUUGCAACCAGACUUGCGCGCGGCUGAUCAUCCGGUGUUCUCACUGGUGCACUCGGUCGCGCUCAGGCCAGCAUCGGUUUUGGUGGUUGGAUAAAGGCCUUAGGAAUGUAGCUCCUCUCGGGGAGUGUUAUAGCCUAGGGUGCAAUGCAGCCUACCGGGACCGAGGACCGCGCUCGGCUAGGA
rnacentral:rRNA from 1 species